GUGGGGAAUAUUGGACAAUGGGCGAAAGCCUGAUCCAGCCAUGCCGCGUGUGUGAAGAAGGUCUUCGGAUUGUAAAGCACUUUAAGUUGGGAGGAAGGGCAGUAAGUUAAUACCUUGCUGUUUUGACGUUACCGACAGAAUAAGCACCGGCUAACUUCGUGCCAGCAGCCGCGGUAAUACGAAGGGUGCAAGCAUUAAUCGGAAUUACUGGGCGUAAAGCGCGCGUAGGUGGUUUUGUAAGUUGGAGGUGAAAUCCCCGGGCUCAACCUUGGAACUGCCUCCAAAACUGCAUGACUAGAGUACGGUAGAGGGUAGUGGAAUUUCCUGUGUAGCGGUGAAAUGCGUAGAUAUAAGAAGGAACACCAGUGGCGAAGGCGACUACCUGGACUGAUACUGACACUGAGGUGCGAAAGCGUGGGGAGCAAACAGGAUUAGAUACCCCAGUAGUCC
rnacentral:rRNA from 1 species